AGCGAACGCUGGCGGCAGGCCUAACACAUGCAAGUCGAACGAACCCUUCGGGGUUAGUGGCGGACGGGUGAGUAACACGUGGGAACGCGCCUUUAGGUUCGGAAUAACUCAGGGAAACUUGUGCUAAUACCGAAUGUGCCCUUCGGGGGAAAGAUUUAUCGCCUUUAGAGCGGCCCGCGUCUGAUUAGCUAGUUGGUGAGGUAAUGGCUCACCAAGGCUACGAUCAGUAGCUGGUCUGAGAGGAUGACCAGCCACAUUGGGACUGAGACACGGCCCAAACUCCUACGGGAGGCAGCAGUGGGGAAUUUUGCGCAAUGGGCGAAAGCCUGACGCAGCCAUGCCGCGUGGAUGAUGAAGGUCUUAGGAUUGUAAAAUCCCUUCACCGGUGAAGAUAAUGACUGUAGCCGGAGAAGAAGCCCCGGCUAACUUCGUGCCAGCCGCCGCGGUAAUAC
rnacentral:rRNA from 1 species